rnacentral:rRNA from 1 species
AUACGGAGGGUCCAAGCGUUACUCGGAAUCACUGGGCGUAAAGCGCGCGCAGGCGGCUAUUUAAGUUGGAUGUGAAAGCCUACGGCUCAACCGUAGAACUGCAUCCAAAACUAUUUAGCUAGAGUGUGGGAGAGGAAGAUGGAAUUAGUUGUGUAGGGGUAAAAUCCGUAGAGAUAACUAGGAAUACCAAAAGCGAAGGCAAUCUUCUGGAACACUACUGACGCUGAGGCGCGAAAGCGUGGGGAGCAAACGGGAUUAGAAACCCUAGUAGUCC